rnacentral:rRNA from 1 species
GACGAACGCUGGCGGCGUGCUUAACACAUGCAAGUCGAACGGAAAGGCCCUGCUUUUGUGGGGUGCUCGAGUGGCGAACGGGUGAGUAACACGUGAGUAACCUGCCCUUGACUUUGGGAUAACUUCAGGAAACUGGGGCUAAUACCGGAUAGGAGCUCCUGCUGCAUGGUGGGGGUUGGAAAGUGUCGGCGGUUGGGGAUGGACUCGCGGCUUAUCAGCUUGUUGGUGGGGUAGUGGCUUACCAAGGCUUUGACGGGUAGCCGGCCUGGGAGGGUGACCGGCCACAUUGGGACUGAGAUACGGCCCAGACUCCUACGGGAGGCAGCAGUGGGGAAUAUUGCACAAUGGGCGGAAGCCUGAUGCAGCAACGCCGCGUGCGGGAUGACGGCCUUCGGGUUGUAAACCGCUUUCGCCUGUGCCGAAGCGUGAGUGACGGUAAUGGGUAAAGAAGCACCGGCUAACUACGUG